GGGCUGUGUUUUUCGUAAUUCAGUCAGUCCCAUACGAUUCUUACACGAGGAAGCAUCACACUUAAUAUUUCGGAAAAAAAAUAAAAUCAAAAUUUUAAAGUGAAACAAAAAAGCAACAAACAGGCGUCGUUUUAAACUUAUUUUUUGACCAUUUGUGACUGGGUCUCAUACACAUCUUUUAAACUUAUUUUUUGACCAUUUGUGACUGGGUCUCAUACACACCGAAGACACUACAGAAGACGCUGAAGACACUCAUCAGAUAUCAUUAGUUGGCUUGACUAUCUGACCUUUUCAAAAUGCUUCCUCUUAACUGAUACAAAAUAUUAAAAAAAAUAUACACUUAGAUUUAAACGUAUUGUUCCUUGGAUUUCAUAUUCCAUUCGAACCAAUCUGACAUUUUCGAAUGGCUUAACUAAGUAAUGUGGACUUAUACAAAUAAAUAAAAACAAGAUAC